CACAAUUUCGUUUUACAUAAGCUAAUUACGAUUUACGGUAAAUAUUAACAUUACGCAUUAUGUUUUAACAUUAUGAGACAUUUAUGCCAUCUGCUGCACUGAUUUGCUUGUUUUAAAACGGCAGUGUUUAUCUGCACUAAACAGUAUGCACAGCCAUUAGCUUAGCUGGCUAAAUAGUGUAGUUAUCCAAAACCGCCGCUGCACAAACUCAUGACAUCGAAAGGAAAACGUUGGAUUUUAAAGGCAAUAAAUAUGCCAGUCUCGUGCCAUAACCAAUGGUUCCCGCAUAAUCCUUUUCUUUAUAGGGCUUCAUCCUGCCUUCACUAAUUCUAAGACGGCGCCUGAGGUUUAGAUUUUAGUGCAUUAUUGACAUAAGACAGUAAAUGUUUUUGUCCAAAUAUUCUUUAAACGAAACUACAAGUCUUUCAUAUUAAAACGAGCAUGCUUCUCCAGCAAUACCAACACAGUUUUUUAAUUUUUAAAAAAGAAUUGGUGUUUUGUUUAGUUAUUGUUAUAAUGUUUAUAAGCAGUAAGCAAAGAAGCCCCUCCUGUUUUACAGAGCUGUUCAGUCUACAUGACCCAUAUAGUACCCCAAAAAACUUUUUAUAGAUUAAAACAUCAGGAGCUGUUUUCAAAUACCUCAGACUGCACAAAUUUAGUCAAUCUUAAAUCCAAAACACUUUUUAGCAUCUAAUGAAAAGCCUGUGUUACAGGUUUCUGUUUUAAAAGCAGAAAUUGUUUGGAAAACUGUUUUUGUUAUUCACAUUUCUUUCUGACCACAAGCCAUGGAAUCUAAUAUGAUCUUGACUUAAUCUUCUUAUAGAACCUAAACCCAGCCUUAAAUGCAGGGUGUUUAGAUGUGUUAGCCGGCACUGAGCUUGACAGUGGCCAUGCAGUUGAAACAACAGCUUUUUUAAGCAAGGAAAAGAGUUACUGUACAACAGAAAAUGAAAUUAUAGCAGAGCUGACAGCACAUCACAGCGGAUGACAUGUAUCUUUCUAUCCAAGUAACUCAACUGUGGGAGGAACUGAAGUCAAAUCGUCUCACCAAAUAUGGCACAGUAACUGCGGUCACAGCUAUUAGGGCUCGGGCUGUGAUGGCUUGGCAGAGAUUCGCAGAUCUACAGGAUAUGGCAACACAGUAGUUUUGCACUUAGACCUGGCAUCGCUGUUCUCCGUUCAGCAAUUUGUGCAUAAAUACACUGCCACUGAGUAUCGACUGUAUAUACUUAUUAACAAUGCUGCCUUACAGAGGAUGGCUAUGAAACCCAGUUUGCUGUCAAUCAUUUGGGUCAUUUCCGACUGUUCUCCUCCUGGACAUGCUGAAGAAGUCUAGUCCUAGUCGAAUUAGUAUUGCUCACAAAGGAGGUAAGAUCCACUUUCGUGACCUAUAACUUCAACAAAGCACCAUACGAUUCCUUAGUCAGCUACAGGCAGAGCAAACUUGCCAACAUGCUGUUUACUCGAGAAUUAGCACAGAGGAUUAAAGUAAUCCGCACUGAACUGGGAUGUUACGUGCUGACGCGUCACCCUCUUCUCAGUGCCCUGUUGUUUUUACCUGCUCUCUUAUUGAUGAAAACCCCCAGUCAGGGUGCUCAGAUGUCAGUGUACUGUGCUUUUGCUGAAGGGCUGGAGUCUCACAGUGGCUGCUAUUUCAGGUAAGGUGUUAAUAUUAAUAUUCAUAAGCUUUCACCAUGACUGUUAUAGGUUUGUAUUUUAAUUUGUCUAAAUAUUUCCUGAUAUGUUUAUGCUUGCACUGGAUGAUAUGAGAUCUUUUUACAGUGAUUGUAAGCUGAAGGAACCAGCUCCUGAAAGUAAAGAUGAUGCAGCUAUCAACACUCAGAUCACUUUUCCAUCUUUGUUGAUUUUUUUCUAAUGGAAAUCUUUAUUUAAUUGAAUUGAAUUGAAUUGAAUUUAUGAUUAUUGAUAAUAAGUGGUUUAAUCAACUAAAGAAGAAGAAACCAAAAUCUGAAUGGUGUUUUUGUCUGGAUCAGUACUGUAAUCCCUGUAUUCCCUGUUUUGCCCAUGACAGUAUGAAAGAUAGUUGGUCUCAUUUGACAUUUUAAAGUUUUUUUUGAAGUAGGCUUAUCUCAUUUGAUGAUUUAAAAAGGUUUCCUAAAUAAAAUUCAAAUAACAAAAAUUAAUUUUAAAAACUGCAGUUGACGCUGGUAAAAUAGGCUACUGUGAGUGUUAAGUUUCUGUGGUUUAAUGUCAAUAAAUCGAAGUCAAUAAAUACAGUUAGCAGCCAGGACUUCUUACAGACACAUACUGGAUAAGUAUAUUCUGAUCAAACCUGUCGGAUUUUACAAGUUCAGUAUGCACUGAAUCGGGUAAAACGCAUUUAAUGUUUGCAUAGUCUAUACAAGGAGAUAAACUAAUCGCGUCACAUUCUGUUUAGCGUAGGAAUGCAAUGGCCAAUCAGAGGCGUUCAGAUGAUGUCAUCGCUGAGACUCCG